GUGGGGAAUCUUGCGCAAUGGGCGAAAGCCUGACGCAGCCAUGCCGCGUGAAUGAUGAAGGUCUUAGGAUUGUAAAGCACUUUAAGUUGGGAGGAAGGGCAGUAAGUUAAUACCUUGCUGUUUUGACGUUACCGACAGAAUAAGCACCGGCUAACUUCGUGCCAGCAGCCGCGGUAAUACGAAGGGUGCAAGCGUUAAUCGGAAUUACUGUGCGUAAAGCGCGCGUAGGUGGUUUUGUAAGUUUGAGGUGAAAUCCCCGGGCUCAACCUGGGAACUGCCUCCAAAACUGCAUGACUAGAGUACGGUAGAGGGUAGUGGAAUUUCCUGUGUAGCGGUGAAAUGCGUAGAUAUAGGAAGGAACACCAGUGGCGAAGGCGACUACCUGGACUGAUACUGACACUGAGGUGCGAAAGCGUGGGGAGCAAACAGGAUUAGAUACCCCGGUAGUCC
rnacentral:rRNA from 1 species